GAUACGUUCGUUGGGUAGGGGAGCGUUCUGUAAGCCUGUGAAGGUGUGUCGUGAGGCAUGCUGGAGGUAUCAGAAGUGCGAAUGCUGACAUAAGUAACGAUAAAGCGGGUGAAAAGCCCGCUCGCCGGAAGACCAAGGGUUCCUGUCCAACGUUAAUCGGGGCAGGGUGAGUCGACCCCUAAGGCGAGGCCGAAAGGCGUAGUCGAUGGGAAACGGGUUAAUAUUCCCGUACUUGGUGUUACUGCGAAGGGGGGACGGAGAAGGCUAUGUUGGCCGGGCGACGGUUGUCCCGGUUUAAGCGUGUAGGUGUGUGUUCCAGGUAAAUCCGGUUCACUUUAACACUGAGGCGUGACGACGAGGCACUACGGUGCUGAAGCAACAAAUGCCCUGCUUCCAGGAAAAGCCUCUAAGCAUCAGGUAACAUCAAAUCGUACCCCAAACCGACACAGGUGGUCAGGUAGAGAAUACCAAGGCGCUUGAGAGAACUCGGGUGAAGGAACUAGGCAAAAUGGUGCCGUAACUUCGGGAGAAGGCACGCUGACACGUAGGUGAAGUGAUUUACUCAUGGAGCUGAAGUCAGUCGAAGAUACCAGCUGGCUGCAACUGUUUAUUAAAAACACAGCACUGUGCAAACACGAAAGUGGACGUAUACGGUGUGACGCCUGCCCGGUGCCGGAAGGUUAAUUGAUGGGGUCAGCGCAAGCGAAGCUCCUGAUCGAAGCCCCGGUAAACGGCGGCCGUAACUAUAACGGUCCUAAGGUAGCGAAAUUCCUUGUCGGGUAAGUUCCGACCUGCACGAAUGGCGUAAUGAUGGCCAGGCUGUCUCCACCCGAGACUCAGUGAAAUUGAACUCGCUGUGAAGAUGCAGUGUACCCGCGGCAAGACGGAAAGACCCCGUGAACCUUUACUAUAGCUUGACACUGAACAUUGAGCCUUGAUGUGUAGGAUAGGUGGGAGGCUUUGAAGUGUGGACGCCAGUCUGCAUGGAGCCGACCUUGAAAUACCACCCUUUAAUGUUUGAUGUUCUAACGUGGACCCGUAAUCCGGGUUGCGGACAGUGUCUGGUGGGUAGUUUGACUGGGGCGGUCUCCUCCUAAAGAGUAACGGAGGAGCACGAAGGUUGGCUAAUCCUGGUCGGACAUCAGGAGGUUAGUGCAAUGGCAUAAGCCAGCUUGACUGCGAGCGUGACGGCGCGAGCAGGUGCGAAAGCAGGUCAUAGUGAUCCGGUGGUUCUGAAUGGAAGGGCCAUCGCUCAACGGAUAAAAGGUACUCCGGGGAUAACAGGCUGAUACCGCCCAAGAGUUCAUAUCGACGGCGGUGUUUGGCACCUCGAUGUCGGCUCAUCACAUCCUGGGGCUGAAGUAGGUCCCAAGGGUAUGGCUGUUCGCCAUUUAAAGUGGUACGCGAGCUGGGUUUAGAACGUCGUGAGACAGUUCGGUCCCUAUCUGCCGUGGGCGCUGGAGAACUGAGGGGGGCUGCUCCUAGUACGAGAGGACCGGAGUGGACGCAUCACUGGUGUUCGGGUUGUCAUGCCAAUGGCACUGCCCGGUAGCUAAAUGCGGAAGAGAUAAGUGCUGAAAGCAUCUAAGCACGAAACUUGCCCCGAGAUGAGUUCUCCCUGAGACUUAGAGUCUCCUGAAGGAACGUUGAAGACGACGACGUUGAUAGGCCGGGUGUGUAAGCGCAGCGAUGCGUUGAGCUAACCGGUACUAAUGAACCGUGAGGCUUAACCUUACAACGCCGAAG
rnacentral:rRNA from 1 species